rnacentral:rRNA from 1 species
GGCCUACCAUGGUGGUAACGGGUAACGGGGAAUUAGGGUUCGAUUCCGGAGAGGGAGCCUGAGAAACGGCUACCACAUCCAAGGAAGGCAGCAGGCGCGCAAAUUACCCAAUCCCGACACGGGGAGGUAGUGACAAUAAAUAACAAUACGGGGCUCUUUCGGGUCUCGUAAUUGGAAUGAGUACAAUUUAAAUCCCUUAACGAGGAACAAUUGGAGGGCAAGUCUGGUGCCAGCAGCCGCGGUAAUUCCAGCUCCAAUAGCGUAUAUUAAAGUUGUUGCAGUUAAAAAGCUCGUAGUUGAAUUUCGGGAUCAAUAUUUCGGUCAUGCCGUUGGUAUGCACUGUUAUCAUUGAUUUCUCACCUUCUAAAGAACCGUAAUGCCAUUAAUUUGGUGUUACGGGGAAUUAGGACUGUUACCUUGAAAAAAUUAGAGUGUUUAAAGCAGGCUCACGCUUGAAUACAUUAGCAUGGAAUAAUGAAAUAGGACGGCAUGAUUCUAUUUUGUUGGUUUCUAGGAUCACCGUAAUGAUUAAUAGGGAUAGUUGGGGGCAUUAGUAUUCAAUUGUCAGAGGUGAAAUUCUUGGAUUUAUUGAAGACUAACUACUGCGAAAGCAUUUGCCAAGGAUGUUUUCAUUAAUCAAGAACGAAAGUUAGGGGAUCGAAGACGAUCAGAUACCGUCGUAGUCUUAACCAUAAACUAUGCCGACUAGGAAUCAGACGAUGUUAAUUUUUUAAUGACUCGUUUGGCACCUUACG